UUGUCAAGAAAAUCAAAAAUAUCAAUAUUCAAAACCGUUACAUUCAAAACCGUUACAAAUUAUAUUGGUAAUUGAUGCCCAAAUCCUUCAAUCGCUCUCCAUUUGCUUGCGAAUCUCAUGCUCAAAUCCUUCAAUCACUCUCUAUUUGGCUGCGAUUUCAUACUCAACACCAUCUGCCUCUUCUUCUUAAAUUCCAUCUCCUAUUGUGUGCAAAUUCUUACAGCAGUCUCUUUCUCUCUCUUUCAAUUUCGAUGGCCCAAAUUUAGGAGGUGCUUCAUCCAUGGCCCAAAGACCCCUCUCGUAGCCACUUAAUUUACAGACGCGGACACCGACGCCGACGAUUGAAGGAUCUGCUCUUUCUCUAUUUCGUAUUAUCUAGGUAGUUGAGGGAAACUUUACCAGUGCUUCUCCUGAUCGGGAUCCAGGAACUCCGGUACGUUUAUGUAGUGAUUUAGACAGUAUAAUAAUUGAAGAUUCUUUUCAUGAUCGAAUUUAAUGCAUGGGUUCUUAGAAAGUUU